CACAAGCGGUGGAGCAUUGUGGUUUAAUUCGAAGCAACGCGAAGAACCUUACCAGGUCUUGACAUCCCGAUGCUAUUUCUAGAGAUAGAAAGUUACUUCGGUACAUCGGUGACAGGUGGUGCAUGGUUGUCGUCAGCUCGUGUCGUGAGAUGUUGGGUUAAGUCCCGCAACGAGCGCAACCCCUAUUGUUAGUUGCCAUCAUUCAGUUGGGCACUCUAGCGAGACUGCCGGUAAUAAACCGGAGGAAGGUGGGGAUGACGUCAAAUCAUCAUGCCCCUUAUGACCUGGGCUACACACGUGCUACAAUGGUUGGUACAACGAGUUGCGAGUCGGUGACGGCGAGCUAAUCUCUUAAAGCCAAUCUCAGUUCGGAUUGUAGGCUGCAACUCGCCUACAUGAAGUCGGAAUCGCUAGUAAUCGCGGAUCAGCACGCCGCGGUGAAUACGUUCCCGGGCCUU
rnacentral:rRNA from 1 species